rnacentral:sRNA from 2 species
AUAUCAAAAAAGCUGAAUUCCUGUGGUAAUAUCCACAGGAUAGGGGGGACCCACUUUUUUGGGGUGAAUCAAGGUAUUUUGCCUUGUAGGGCAAAUAUACCCUUUCUGCCCGAACCCGUCAGCUAACCCCCGAAGCUUUGAAAGGGAGGUAUG